GGAGAUGGCUCAGUGGGUAAGAGCACUUGCUCUGUAAGCAUGAGGUCCUGCGUUUAAAACCUCAGCAUCCUCA
rnacentral:tRNA from 1 species